CCCACCUGAUUCCAUGCCGAACUCAGAAGUGAA
rnacentral:rRNA from 1 species